UACGAGGGGGGCGAGCGUUGUUCGGAAUUAUUGGGCGUAAAGGGUGCGUAGGCGGUUUGGUAAGUCUUAUGUGAAAUCUACAGGCUCAACUUGUAGUCUGCAUGAGAAACUGCCGGGCUUGAGUAUGGGAGAGGUGAGUGGAAUUCCUGGUGUAGCGGUGAAAUGCGUAGAUAUCAGGAGGAACACCUGUGGCGAAAGCGGCUCACUGGACCAUAACUGACGCUGAUGCACGAAAAGCUAGGGGAGCAAACAGG
rnacentral:rRNA from 1 species